rnacentral:ribozyme from 1 species
AGGCGAGGAGCCCUCGGCCCAGUCGCAGACCCUCCGAGCCCGGCGCGGGCUCGGCGCCCUCAACACGGACCGGCCAGCCACGGGGGCAUCGUCCGGGGGCGCCCCUC